CCUACGGGCGGCAGCAGUGGGGGAUUUUGCACAAUGGGGGAAACCCUGAUGCAGCGACGCCGCGUGGGCGAAGAAGUAUUUCGGUAUGUAAAGCCCUAUCAGCAGGGAAGAAGAAAUGACGGUACCUGAGUAAGAAGCACCGGCUAAAUACGUGACAGCAGCCGCGGUAAUACGUAUGGUGCAAGCGUUAUCCGGGUUUACUGGGUGUAAAGGGGGCGCAGGCGGCACGGUAAGCCUGAUGGGAAAGCCCGCGGCCCAACCGUGGGAAUGCAGUGGGAACUACCGAGCUGGAGUGCCGUAGAGGAAGGCGGAAUUCCAAGUGUAGCGGUGAAAUGCGUAGAUAUAAGGAGGAACACCAGUGGCGAAGGCGGCCUACUGGACUGUGACUGACGCUGAGGCUCGAAAGCGUGGAGAGCAAACAGGAUUAGAUACCCGUGUAGUC
rnacentral:rRNA from 1 species